CUUCCAGACUCCUACGGGAGGCAGCAGUGGGGAAUAUUGCACAAUGGGCGCAAGUCUGAUGCAGCCAUGCCGCGUGUAUGAAGAAGGCCUUCGGGUUGUAAAGUACUUUCAGCGGGGAGGAAGGUGUUGAGGUUAAUAACCUCAGCAAUUGACGUUACCCGCAGAAGAAGCACCGGCUAACUCCGUGCCAGCAGCCGCGGUAAUACGUAGGGUGCGAGCGUUAAUCGGAAUUACUGGGCGUAAAGGGUGUGCAGGCGGCUGAGUAAGACAGAUGUGAAAUCCCCGGGCUCAACCUGGGAACUGCAUUCGAAACUGGCAGGCUGGAGUCUUGUAGAGGGGGGUAGAAUUCCAGGUGUAGCGGUGAAAUGCGUAGAGAUCUGGAGGAAUACCGGUGGCGAAGGCGGCCCCCUGGACAAAGACUGACGCUCAGGUGCGAAAGCGUGGGGAGCAAACAGGAUUAGAUACCCCUGUAAUC
rnacentral:rRNA from 1 species